ensembl:lncRNA
ACUCAUUCAUUUUCCUCGUUGUGUUGUCACUCACCGUCACACACAGACAAGGUGAUGUUAGCCGCGGUGUGGCUCACGUUGUUGCGGACCGAGCAGGUGAGCAGUCCCGACCGGCCCGGCUCCAGAGUGACGUCACUAGCGCUACCGGGUCCGGAGAGGAGACGCGUGUCGUUCAGCGGGAGUCCGUCUAGACUCCAGCUGUAGUGGAGUCCGUCCCCCCCAGCAGAGCAGGACACCCUCUGCUGUCCCCGGGACAGACACUCCCGGGACAGGAGGGGAGAGGAGACCGGGGCUAAGGGAAACCGACCGAGGAGGUGAGUCUCACAGUUUGACUGAACAGAAACCUUCUGUUAUUCACUCAUAGAAACUUAACUUCAUACAAUUAUAAUCAGAAGUAUCCACCUCUUUAACCCACCUGCUCUUGCUCCCAGACUAACUAGUGUUUACUGUAGGCUACUUUACAUAUUAUAUGCCAACAUACACAAAUCCGGCAGUAGCAAGAGCCCCCUCUUUACGUCAAAUGUUGACAGCAUUAAUAAUAAAUGGGCAGUUUAAAGAGUACCUAGAAAAGCCCUUCAAAACAUUCACAAAGUACAGUAUAGCAUGUGCCGUUACCAAUCAUGUUAACAUGGAGCCUGAGAGCCAACAGUGUUUCUAUAAGAGCUAUGAAGUAAGAGGUUAAUGUGUAAAUUAUCCUUAAUAACUGAUGUUAAACGCUUCGCAUCUGUAAUCUUGUUUACCAAUCAUUCGAUGAAGCAACAAAUGUUACUGUAUAUUGAUAAAGCUACUCACCUUGAAUGGAUAUAUGAAAUUGUAUGUUUGAUAAAUUAAUUCCAUUUCUAUUUUGUGCUUCAAUUGAAUAUGUACCAUCCUCUGUCCUGUUGAUGUCGUUUAUGGUAAAUAUUCCUGUGUUGACGUUAAAUGAAUAAUCAAACUUUUUUGUCUGACUUUUGUACUUUACAAUCGGGACAUUGUCUUUCUUCAGGUUGUAGAUAUCAUCUUGUGAGGUCUUAGUAGCCAGCAGGACCUUCACGGUUCCUCCCAGAGAGCCAAAGCACUGGGUCGUGAUGUGUGGCUGUGUGGCAUCGCAGAAGGUCUUCACACCUGGAGGUUUACAGAGGAGAAUAAAACAAUACAGGAGAUAUAGCUCACUGAGAUUCACAGUUCUACUCUCACUUUUGCUACAACAAAUCUCUAUAAGAGCUAUGAAGUCAGAGGUUAAUGUCAAAAUGAUCCUUAAUGACCUUAAUGAAUCCUUAAUGAUGAUGAGAGGGAAACAGCAGCUAAAAACCUUUUUUCCUCUUAUCUGUAACCCUGGUUACCAAUAAUUAACUACUGCUACUGAAAUAAGAUAUAGUUCCUUACCUUGAAUGGUUAAAUUACAUUUUGUAUUUGCUACUUCCCUUCCAGCUGCAUCGUGUAGUUCCAUAGAGUAUGUACCGUUGUCUGACCAGUCGAUGUCCUUUAUAGCAAAUAUUCCAGUACUGAUAUUAAAUGAAUAUCGAAAGUUUGUUGUCUCACUGCUCUUGGACAAAACCACAACAUUGUCUUUCUUCAGUUUGUAGAUAUCAUCUUGUGAGGACUUAGGCAGCUGGACCUCCACGGUUCCUCCCAGAGAGCCAAAGCACUGGGUCGUGAUGUGUGGCUGUGUGGCGUCGCAGAAGGUCUUCACACCUGGAGGUUUACAGACGAGAGAGUAAAACAAUACAGGAGAUAUAUCUCACUGAGAUAAGGAGACCAC